GACAGAGGGUGCAAACGUUGCUCGGAAUCACUGGGCGUAAAGGGCGCGUAGGCGGACAAGUAAGUCGGGCGUGAAAUCCCUAGGCUCAACCUAGGAACUGCACUCGAAACUGCAUGUCUUGAGUACCGGAGAGGAAAGCGGAAUACCUGGUGUAGAGGUGAAAUUCGUAGAUAUCAGGUGGAACACCAGUGGCGAAGGCGGCUUUCUGGACGGUAACUGACGCUGAGGCGCGAAAGCGUGGGGAGCAAACAGGAUUAGAAACCCCAGUAGUCC
rnacentral:rRNA from 1 species